GACGAACGCUGGCGGCGUGCUUAACACAUGCAAGUCGAACGGAAAGGCCCUGCUCUUGUGGGGUGCUCGAGUGGCGAACGGGUGAGUAACACGUGAGUAACCUGCCCUUGACUUUGGGAUAACUUCAGGAAACUGGGGCUAAUACCGGAUAGGAGCUCCUGCUGCAUGGUGGGGGUUGGAAAGUUUCGGCGGUUGGGGAUGGACUCGCGGCUUAUGAGCUUGUUGGUGGGGUAGUGGCUUACCAAGGCUUUGACGGGUAGCCGGCCUGAGAGGGUGACCGGGGACAUUGGGACUGAGGUACGGCCCAGAAGCCUACCGGAGGCAACAGUGGAGAAUAUUGCACAAUGGGCGGAAGCCUGUUGCGGCAACGCCGCGUUCGGGAUGACGGCCUUCGGGGUGUAAACCGCUUUCGCCUGUGACGAAGCGUGAGUGACGGUAAUGGGUAAAGAAGCACCGGCUAACUACGUG
rnacentral:rRNA from 1 species